UACGUAGGUGGCAAGCGUUGUCCGGAUUUACUGGGCGUAAAGAGCGCGCAGGCGGUCGUUCAAGUCGCGUGUGAAAGCCCCCGGCUCAACUGGGGAGGGGUCACGCGAUACUGAUCGACUCGAAGGCAGGAGAGGGUAGUGGAAUUCCCGGUGUAGUGGUGAAAUGCGUAGAUAUCGGAAGGAACAUCAGUGGCGAAAGCGGCUUCCUGGACC
rnacentral:rRNA from 1 species